rnacentral:rRNA from 1 species
GGCGGACGGGUGAGUAAUGCCUAGGAAAUUGCCUUGAUGUGGGGGAUAACCAUUGGAAACGAUGGCUAAUACCGCAUAAUGCCUACGGGCCAAAGAGGGGGACCUUCGGGCCUCUCGCGUCAAGAUAUGCCUAGGUGGGAUUAGCUAGUUGGUGAGGUAAUGGCUCACCAAGGCGACGAUCCCUAGCUGGUCUGAGAGGAUGAUCAGCCACACUGGAACUGAGACACGGUCCAGACUCCUACGGGAGGCAGCAGUGGGGAAUAUUGCACAAUGGGCGCAAGCCUGAUGCAGCCAUGCCGCGUGUAUGAAGAAGGCCUUCGGGUUGUAAAGUACUUUCAGCAGUGAGGAAGGGGGUGUCGUUAAUAGCGGCAUCUCUUGACGUUAGCUGCAGAAGAAGCACCGGCUAACUCCGUGCCAGCAGCCGCGGUAAUACGGAGGGUGCGAGCGUUAAUCGGAAUUACUGGGCGUAAAGCGCAUGCAGGUGGUUUGUUAAGUCAGAUGUGAAAGCCCGGGGCUCAACCUCGGAACUGCAUUUGAAACUGGCAAACUAGAGUACUGUAGAGGGGGGUAGAAUUUCAGGUGUAGCGGUGAAAUGCGUAGAGAUCUGAAGGAAUACCAGUGGCGAAGGCGGCCCCCU